CUUAUCUUUUCUGGGAGAGCUUUAACAUUUUUCUAUUUUUUUCUGUGGUAAAAAUUUCUUCCUGCUAAAGUAAUGGCCAAAGAAUAAUCCAGUCAGAUUAGAGCCAGUGUAGCUAACAUUGGCCUGAACACUGGUGUUUUUACUAAAUGCUUAUCAGCAUAAUCAUACCCUCCCUACCCUUGAUGCUUAUAGUUUCUCUUUUUAGAAUUGUCCUAAAGAAUAUCUGAGGAUGUGUGAAUUUUUAAUAUUUUAAACCUUGUGGAUGUCAAGGACCAGAUUAAAAAAUUUUUUUUUAAAUUAAAAAAAAUAUUUAUUUAUUUUGGGGGAGAGUAUAAGCAGGGGAGGUAGAGGGGGACAGAGGAUCCGAAGCGGGCUCUGCACUGAUGGGCUGUCAGCACUGAGCCCAAUGUGGGGCUAGAGCUCACAAACUGCGAGAUCAUGAGCUGAGCGGAAGUUGGAUGCUCAACCGACUGAGCCACCCAGGCGUCCCAGUGUUUUUUUUUUUUAAGAUUUUAUUUUUCCAAAGUAAUGUCUGCACCCAACAUAGGACUUGAACUUAUAACCCAAAGAUCAAGAGUUGAAUGCUCUACCUACUGACUGAGCCACCCAGGCACCUGAAAAAUGCUUUUUAAAUGCAGGUUUAUGAAAGCUCUAGGAUGUUUCUUAAAAUACACAUUGUAGUCUCCCAAGUUCUAUCUUGAUCAACAAGAAUUUAUUGAGGCCUUUAUAUAAAGCACUAUUCUAGAUGCAGUGAUGAUUUUUAAUACUGGGGAUGUGCUCCUUGGUCUCCAGGAAGAAUGCUUUUCUAUAUUGAUAAUUAAAUUUUCUUUAGGCAUUUCAGUGCAGUUGAACAACCGGCUAUUUUGUGUCUUAAGUGGGGGCAGAUAGACAAUUGGAAGAGACAGGACUAAAGUACAUGGUACAAUUAGAAGUAUAGAGAGGCUGUGCUUUGGAGGGACUUCAUGUUGGAGACAGAAUGCUGAAGUAGUCAAUCUUGGGCUUUAGGAGAUGGAUAGGAUUUAGGUAGGUAGGAAGGAGGAGAACAGGUAUGUUUAGAAGGGGAUCCAGUAUGGUUUGGGGUUGAUUAAGAGUGGUUUCAGGAAAGAAGUGAAUUUUAAUCUGAGAUAGCAGGGUGGAGAAAAGAAAAAACCUAGAGCCUGAAUUAUAUUGAUGUGAAUUUGAGAAAACUCCUUCCAGAUGGCCCCAUCAUUCUGAGAAGGAAAAUGUAUAUACUGAAAGGGGUCUGGUCAGAGGUAUUUUAGAGGCGAGAAAAAAUCUGACAGACUGGUAUGGUUGGGAUCAAAAUGAUUGUUUUUUAAGUUUGGAGGUUGAAUGGUAUGUAUCCUCACGAGCAGUUGUGGGCCUGCUGUGUAUAGAGCACCAUGGAGAAUAAACUAUAAACAGGAAGGAGAAUUUUAGAACUCUGGAAAUUUAAACCCUAUCUUCAAAAGAGAGGCUAGAAGCAUUUAUAUUUUUUGUAUUUCCCUAUGCCUUUGCAUGUAGGAGCUGUAGAGAGGAAGGGGAACAGAAGAGAUGUUUCAAGGGUGGGGACUGAUUCAAGAGCAUUAUGUAAGGUCAGAGGAGUCCGUGUUUUCAUCUGUAAAGUGGGAAUAAGUAGCACCUAACUCAUGAAGUUCUGUGAAACUUGAAUGAGGGAAGAUAAAGCACCUCCCAGGUACUUGUGGAGCACUCAGGAAUUGUUAGCCAUUGUUACUAAGACAGGAUCCACUGAAGGAAUCACAGUGGUCAACAAAUAAUUAUGAGGCAGUGAGAUAAGUGUUGUAAAGGGACCCUGUCCAGAAUGCUUAAGGCAUGGUGGGGUGACUAAUACUGAAUUGGGAAGUUGGAAAUAGUGGGAAAGGAGUGAAUCUGGGUGUCGAAGGGUGAGUAGAGGUUUGCUUCCACUACAUUAAUACAGAUUGUGCAGAUCUUGAAAAAAUAUCAGAUCCCGAUCUUAACAGCCUAGCACACUGCACAAAGAUAGGCUUUAGUGUGAUGUGUGAUCCAAAAGCGUAGGAAUUGGAAAAGAAAGAAUUUAAAUGGAGCAAAUCGUAAAAAGGAUUUAUUUAUGGGGUGCCUGAGUGGCUCAGUUGGUUAAGCAUCCGACUUUGGCUCAGGUCAUGAUCUUGCGGUCUGUGAGUUCAAGCCCUGUGUUGGGCUCUAUGCUGACAGUUCAGAGACUGGAGCUUGCUUUGGAUUCUGUGUCUCCUCUCUCUACCCCUGCCCUGCUUUCUCUCUCUCUCUCUCUCUCUCUCAAAAAGAAAUAAAUAUUAAAAAAAAAUUUUUUAAAAAGGAUUUAUUUAUUUACUUUUAUUUUUUUUAAUUAAAAAAAAAAUUUUUUUUAAGUUAUUUUUGAGAGAGACAGAACACAAGCAGGGGAGGGGCAGAAAGAGAGAGAGACACAAAAUCUGAAUCAGGCUCCGGAGUCUGAGCUGUCAGAGGGCUUGAACUCACAAGCUGCAAGACCAUGACCUGAGCCAAAGUCAGACGCUCAACCAACUGAGUCACCCAGGCUUCCCUAAAAAGGAUUUAAAUGCAGGAAAUGAAGCUAUAUGAGUUUGCUUUCAAAGGGCUUUAUCUUCGGAAGGAGGGAAGAAUCUUUACAUUUGUAAGCCUGGAAGUAACCUUAGACAAAAUCCGGCCACUUCAGUGAGAUAAGGGAACUGAAACCAAAAGGGUGUUCAGAGCUGUCUACUGUGGUAUUUCUGGUGAAAUAAUGUGUCCAAAAGAAGAAAAGGGCACAGUUUUUUUCUGACAGAUCCACAAGAAGAAGGUGAAUAAGUGGAAAGGAAGAAAUGUGAAUAAAGAUGUAUUUCUAAAGCUGUCUCCCAGCACCAGCAUGGAAAACAAAACAAAAAGCAGGUGGAAUGAGAGGCUGUGAUACAAUUAUAGAAAUAAAAUCUAUACUGACUUUAGCAGCGUCUAUUGGUUAUUGUCACUUUUGGCUGCAGCUGCUCAUACAUCCCAGAGCCAGCACAUGUGUGUUGUGGGAAGAAGUGAAUUUAUCAGAAACAUGGAUAUUUUUGGCAAAUUUUGAAUGCCAAAAACUUAUUUUGGAAGGCAGUUUUAUUAGUCUUUCUUACAUUAUAAUGAUAUUUCACGCUCAUUGUAGUGAAUUUGGAAAACUUCCCUUCUUUUGAGCCCACUGGGUUGUAAAUUACCAGAGAUCUAAUGCGUCUCUCCUGCUUCUAGUUUAUCUUCCCUGGUGCCUACAUGGUGCUUUACACAUGGCAGGCUCACAAUUGUUGGGAGGAUAAAUACCUACUCUUAAUUUCUUCCAAAACAUAGGGAGGAAAUUCUUUAAUCAUUAUGGUUUUUGUUUUUUACAGCAUUAUGAUUGGUUUAAAUACAGUUUUGUAAACUGGUUUUUCAUGUAUGAUAAACAUUUUUUUUCCUAAUCUGAACUCAGCAUAUACAUUUUAAUGUCUGUGUGUCCAUUGAAUAGAUUAAAUAAUUUAUUUAAAUGUUCCUCUGUUGUUGUAAAUGCCGUGUAAAUGACAUUGUUAAAUCACAAAUAUAAUAUUGGCAGCCACAGUAAUUACUGUUUUAUCUUUCUCCAGUCUCACAAAAUACACAUUUUUUUUGAAGAUGACAGCCCACCAUCUUAAAGAAUUGCCACCGUCUUCCCCCAGUGCUCAUUAAUAAGAAACAAGUGUGAGAUUUAGUGAAAAGAUUGGUGGUAUUUUACACUUUUUACAAAUCCACAAAUAUUCUUAGAUAAUUGAUAGCCGGGUUUUCAUAUCUGCUUUCAGUACAGGUUCAGUGUUUUGAUAGGUUGUUUUGAAGUAUCUGAAGAAAAUUGAGUCUCACACAGACUAUGUAGUGAAUUAUUUUGUAGAAUGUUUCUUAACUUGGGUCUCAUGGUUUCUUAUGAUUAGAUUGAGGUCAUGCAUUUUUGGCGAUAAUGUCUCAGAAGUGAUGUCCCCUUGUCAGUGCAUCAUAUCAAAAGGUACAUGAUGUCAGUAUAACUUAUUGGUGAUGUUAACCGUGAUUGUUGGGUUAAGGUGAGGACUGUCCGGUUUCUCCACUAUAACAUAGUUACAAAUCUUUUUUUCUGUUGUUGAGCACUUUUGAGAUUUACUUUCUUAGCAACUUUCAAAUAACUGUAUACAACAAAGUGUUGUUGUUGUUGUUGUUGUUUUUAAAGCAAACCUCACUUUAUUUAGCUCACGAUUUUGUUGGUCAGCUGCAUAGUUUUUGUCCUCUGGAUGAGCUCAGCCGAUCUACAUCUCUCAUACAUACUUCUAUAUAACCUGGAUCAUGUCGGGGGGGGGGGGGGGGGCCCAUCCGUGUGUCUGGUUGUUGGCCAGUUCCAAGCUGCGUUACCUUGGUUUCCCUCCAGGUGUCCUCUUAUCGUCCUGGGGGAUAGCUCAGGUCCACUCACAUGGCCAUCUUGGAAUUUCAGGAGUUUGCAGCCAUUCUUUCAAUCUAUGUCAAUCUUGAUUUAAAUGUUAUUUACAUGGGUGUAUACACAUUGUCCAAAUGUAUACUCAAAACCAGUAUGUUUUACUGUAUGUAAGAUUUGUCUUUUUUUUAAUUGUGAUUUUUUUUCUUUUUUUAUUAUUUUUUCAGUAUAUGAAAUUUAUUGUCAAAUUGGUUUCCAUACAACAUCCAGUGCUCAUCCCAAAAGGUGCCCUCCUCAA